AUUGAACGCUGGCGGCAUGCCUUACGCAUGCAAGUCGAACGGUAACAGGUUUUCGGAUGCUGACGAGUGGCGAACGGGUGAGUAAUACAUCGGAACGUGCCUAGUAGUGGGGGAUAACUACUCGAAAGAGUGGCUAAUACCGCAUGAGAUCUACGGAUGAAAGCAGGGGAUCGCAAGACCUUGUGCUACUAGAGCGGCCGAUGGCAGAUAAGGUAGUUGGUGGGAUAAAAGCUUACCAAGCCGACGAUCUGUAGCUGGUCUGAGAGGACGAUCAGCCCCACUGGGACUGAGACACGGCCAAGACUCCUACGGGAGGCAGCAGUGGGGAAUUUUGGACAAUGGGCGAAAGCCUGAUCCAGCAAUGCCGCGUGCAGGAUGAAGGCCUUCGGGUUGUAAACUGCUUUUGUACGGAACGAAAAGCCCCGGGUUAAUACCCUGGGGUCAUGACGGUACCGUAAGAAUAAGCACCGGCUAACUACGUGCCAGCCGCCGCCGUAA
rnacentral:rRNA from 1 species